GCCGCCGCCGCCGCAGCCUCCAUCGCGGGUCACGUGGGGCGCGCGCGCCGCGUCACGUGGGGCGCGCGGAGGACGGGGCGGGGCUGUGAUUGGCCAGAGCCGAGCCCUCGCUCCCCCCGCGCGCUCCCGCCGCCCGCCCGGAGGCGCCGCCGCGCGUCCCCUCAGGGGCGGCUGAGGGGGAGCCGCGGCAGCGGUCGGGGCUCUGCAGCGCUGCGGCCGCGACGGUGCCUCCUCGGCUCCGGGUUUGCUCCUGGGCCGCAGAGGAAGGAGCUGUCACGAGGAAAGACCUGGCUUUGCCGCGGUACAGGCUCUUCGGAAGGUGUCGCUUGCGAAAGCUGUCAGCGCUUCCCGUAGCGUGCACCGGGGAGAGGAGAAAGGCUGCGGUGUGAUGGGGCCCUCGGCGGAACAGCCCCAGGCUCCUGUGGGAGGGUGAGAGUCGCAGCAACCUCAAAGCGCACAAGGAACGGCCCCGCAAUCCCCUCGAUCCUCACAGGGGAUCAGCCCUCAGCCCCCUCCACCCUCACAGGGAUCAUCCCGUUAAUGCUCUCAAACCGCACAGGCAACAGCCCCUCAGUGUCCUCGAUCUUCAUAGGGGGUCAGCCCUCAGCCCCCCAAAAACCUCACAGGGAUCAUUCCCUCAAUGCCCACACAGCGAGCAGCCCCUCAGCCCCCCCAAAACGUGGCAGGGGAUAAGACCUCAGCCCCCUGAAACCUCACAGGGAUCAUCCUCCUCAAUUCCCUCAAACCACACAGGGAAUCAGCUCCUCAACCCCAAAAAUCUCAUAGGGAUCAGCCUCUCAAACCUUACAGGAUCAGCCCUUCAGCCCCCUCAAACCUCUCAGGGGGAGCAGCCCCUCAGCCCCCUCAAACCUCUCAGGGCACGCUGGUUCUCCUCAAAAAGUCCUCUUAAGUCGCAGGGCUGCAGGCAUGGGGUGACAGUAGGAGGUUCCUGUUCCAUUAAAAUGUCUUUUCACUGUCUGAAACAGAAACACGGGCUGAAUUGUAAAAGGAUCAAAACCACCCCUGCCCUUCGCUGUUCUCCAGCAUGUUUGCUUUUAGUAUUCAGCCCAGGACUGACACAGAAUGGGAGGAUUUCCCAAAUGGCUUUGUUACAACAUUAAGCCUGGUAACCUACCCUGGGUCACUCCCGAGCAGAAAAUAAGGAGUUUGAAAGAAAACACUGAUUUCUAAGGGCAGCUUGUUCCAAGGAUUGUUCCUGCCCUGAAACAAAGCCUGUGAAAACACCAGUUGCGAGUCAUUCCCUCAGUUACUGUUUCCGCACGGAGUGAUGUUGCCACAUCGGAGCUGCGGAAAGGUCAAGCCGGAGUUGCUUUCUCGCUGAUACUUUGCCGAUGCUCCUCCAACCCGGGAGUAACGAGGUGCCACAGCUAAUGGCACUCACGAGACAGAAAUCACUGUGGCGUUGGAAAGGAGCUGAACACUCAGUGUUCCAGAGGACUCCAAACCCAAACGUGACAGAUCCAUGCUGGACACGUAGCUCUGACAACGCUGUGCCCAUGCAGCAAGGCUGAAAGUUGAAGAAGUGUGGAGGAAGCUGAUAAUGCUCUUUCAGUUCCUGAGGACUUCAAGCAGCUAUAAAGGUUAUAGGACAUUAGCAAACACCAACAAUCAGCUCACAAACAGCUGGCUGAGAAGCUGAAGACAAACAUCUACAGAACUGUUGAAGCAUAAAAUAGCACAGGAACACCUGAAAAUACAACUAUUGAGGAGGAGCACCAGCACCACAGAUCCCUUCCCCUGAUGCGAGAUUUGUUAACUGGGAACAACAGGCACCCAGCUGCAGGGAGAGGAUCACCUUCAUCACCUGUGAGCACCAGGAAGGGAAUUUCCAGAUGGGAUUGCCAAAGCCUCCACCCUUGCAGUCCCAGCAGUUGCUGAGUGUCAUUAAUCAUUCCAUCAAAUGGAGCAUUCACCACCCUCCUGUCUUUGCAGGUGAGGAGGACAGGGGCUGUCUGUCACCUUGGGGACAGCUGACAUGACUGCAGGCAUGACAGGGCAGCUGGCAACAGGCAUUGAGAAACCAGCUGCAUUUUCAACACCACCUUCAACCAAACCACUGCUAACAGAGUCCUCACAGAAACCAGGCUGAGGCAGCACUCACAGCUAUCACCUCUGCUUCCCUCUGCAGAGCUUAUCUUGUGUAAAGUAACACCUAGCACUGUAAAAUCCUAGUGCGAGUUAAACAAUUGUAAUGUACCUCAGAUGGUCCGAGCAAACCUCACUGCUAAGUCUGCAAGAAAUUCCCUUUGCAUCCACUCAGCACCUGCCUGUGAAAGGCUCCUGCAUCCAGAGCUGACAGCAAAACUCAGACAAGGGGGAGGAAGGAAGCAGACACAGGAGGGAAAAUGCCACAGACGUCUUAAGGGCAGGGCUUGUCUUAAUGCAUUUUUGUCAUCAUUGAAUUCAGCCGUGGGUAAAAGCCAAACUUCCCUAAGACAGCCAGAGAACCAGGACCUGCCUCUGUUUCAAGACCCAUCCACAGGUGCUACCUGCCCUGGGCAUUUGGCUCAGCAGGAGCUCAGCACUCCCGGCUGCACGAGGAGCUCCUGACCGAGAUCAUCCCAACUUCUGCCACGAGCAGCGCCCUCGGCACAGCCGGGCCCGACCUCAGAGAGGAGAGAGGGGCCUUUGUGCAGCCCUGGGAGGGACCGCGGGUGCCAGAAGCGACCUGGCACAGGAGCACAGCUGAGUCACAGCUGCAGCAAUUGCACCAAUUGUGCCAGGGACACAACAAUUGCACUUGUCUGACUGGUCAGGCCAUGACGGCAGCGCAGUGCAGCUCUCUUUGUGAAAGCGUUUCGCCUGGAAGUAAAUUUCCAAAACAAAAUCCCUCCAAUUCCAAGCCUUUCCAGGCUUCUCCCUGGAAAGGGCAGUUUACUGAGAGGUGGCAUGCAGCAGAGAGAAAUCUCAGUGCUGUUGGCUUCCACCAUCACCUGUGAAGGAGGUAACCCUGAAUUCCCAUUACUCUGGGAUGGGAAAUGAGGUCUCAGCUCCAGCCAGCUUCCCAAGAAUAGCCAAAGGUGCAGCCCAAGGUCCCUGUUCC